rnacentral:rRNA from 1 species
CGUGUAGGCGGCCAGAUAAGUUGGAUGUGAAAGGUUACGGCUCAACCGUAGAUUGUCAUUCAAAACUGUCUGGCUUGAGUUCAAUAGGGGGUGGUGGAAUUCCUGGUGUAGCGGUGAAAUGCGUAGAUAUCAGGAAGAACACCGGAGGCGAAGGCGGCCACCUGGGCUGACACUGACGCUGAGGCGCGAAAGCGUGGGGAGCAAACAGGAUUAGAUACCCUGGUAGUCC